AUAAUUAUUUAUCAAUUAUUUUCCUUCUGUGGGAUUCCCACACCGCCUCAAAACCCAGUGUUCUUGCCCCCCCUCCUCUCUCUCCCUCCUUCUUUCUGUUUAUAUACGUGUAACGUGUUCUUCUUCUUCUUCUAGUUCACAAUCUCUCAUUUUUUUCUCUGGGGUUCUCUUUAUAUUUUCAGUUUUAUCGAAUUAAGCUAAGCUUUGAUCAAAUGGUUGAUAUUCAAACAGUAUGUUGCAUGUGCGGCGACGUUGGUUUCCCUGACAAACUCUUCCGUUGCAACAAAUGUCGCAACCGUUUUCAACACUUGUAUUGUAGCAAUUACUACGGCGAAUUUUCAGAGCCAAUUGAACAGUGUGAUUGGUGUCAAAGUGAAGAGAGAAAUGCAAGACAUGGAAACUCUUCAAAGAAAUCAGGAGCUGAACAUGAUAGCGGAACACUAGUCACAAAACGAUCAGAGUAUUCAGGUGAUCAUAAAAUCAAGCAACAUGAUCGCGAAGAGAAUAGCACUACUAGUAGUGAUCAAAAGGGAAAGAACCCAAGUGGGAUUCCUUCUCCAAGGCCUACUACACGCAGGUACAAGCUUCUCAAGGAUGUCAUGUGUUAAAAGAAAAGGAGUGUCCACAGGGCUGUUCCGAAAGUACUUCUUUGGUUUUGUGCGUUGAUAGAGUGGAAGAAAGCUAAUUAAUUCUGGCUGGUUGGGGGUUUUGGUGAUAUCGGAGAGUUUUUCUGUAGGGUUUGUCUCUGUCAUAGCUGCAGUACUGCUAUUGGGAGGAGUUGCACCUCCUCCUCAUUUGCUUUGUUGAGUCUCUUAAGGAGUAUUCAAUGCAUUCGGAUGUAUUCCUUUUAGGCCAAAUAAUUCAUAUUUCACAGUACCUACACCCUGCAAGCUUUUACAGAUUCAUUGAAGGCCUUUAAUAGCUAGGCCCUCUAUUAUUGUUGGCCAAAGUAAGCUUUAAGCGGGGAAAAAAAAACAGAAGAAGAAGGAGGAGAAGGAGGAGAAGAAGAAGAAACAUAGCUCUGAGGGGAAAAAAAUACAGUUCAUGGUUGUGAAAAUAAAUGAAUAUUUAAUGCUUUCUGAGGAAAAGAAGUUCAUACAAUACGGGCACAAGAGAAAAGGGAAAAGAUAGCUGUUGUGGCCAGGAUCUAUGCCUUUCAUUCAAGUCCUGAACUGUUGAUAUUUCUUUGCAAGCUUGUACUGUGUUGACCCGUAGUUGUGUGAAUUAUCUCCAAAUUAAAGUACACAAACCGAUAGGUUUUCUCUACAGUAUCUGUUUUGGCUAUUUAUGACAAACCACCAAGGCCUCCUUCACACUGGUAAUCUUUAAUUAAUUGAGAAUGGAUCCAUGACCUUUAUCUACCAAA